CCCUUAGAUGUUCUGGGCUGCACGCGCGCUACACUGAUGCUUUCAUCGAGUAUAUAACCUUACCAGACAUGGUUGGGUAAUCUUUUGAAACAGCAUCGUGAUGGGGAUAGAUUAUUGUAAUUAUUAGUCUUCAACGAGGAAUUCCUAGUAAGCGCGAAUCAUCAGUUCGUGCUGAUUACGUCCCUGCCCUUUGUACACACCGCCCGUCGCUCCUACCGAUUGAGUGGUCCGGUGAGGCUUUGGGAUCUGAGCGGAAAGAGCGUUUCGCUGUUUCUGCUCGGAAAACUCAGUCGAACCUUAUCAUUUAGAGGAAGGAGAAGUCGUAACA
rnacentral:rRNA from 1 species